GCCUAGCUGGCUCAGCCAGUAGAGCAUGGGACUCUCGAUUUCAGGGUUGUGAGUUCAAGCUCCAUAUUGGGCA
rnacentral:tRNA from 1 species